UGUAGCAAUACAAGUGAAGACCUAGUGGCGAACGGGUGAGGAACACGUGAGAAAUUUGCCCCGAACUUUGGGAUAACAGUUGGAAACGACUGCUAAUACCGAAUGCCGUUACGAAGUGGCAUCACUUUGUAACGAAAGAAUUUCGGUUCGGGAGAAUCUCGCGGCCUAUCAGCUUGUUGGUGAGGUAACGGCUCACCAAGGCUACGACGGGUAGCUGGUCUGAGAGGAUGAUCAGCCACACUGGGACUGAGACACGGCCCAGACUCCUACGGGAGGCAGCAGUGGGGAAUCUUGUGCAAUGGACGAAAGUCUGACACAGCCACGCCGCGUGCGGGAAGAAGGCCUUCGGGUUGUAAACCGCUUUCAGCAGGAACGAAAAUGACGGUACCUGCAGAAGAAGGAGCGGCCAACUACGUGCCAGCAGCCGCGGUGACACGUAGGCUCCAAGCGUUGUCCGGAUUUAUUGGGCGUAAAGAGCUCGUAGGCGGUUCAGCAAGUCGGGUGUGAAAACUCUGGGCUCAACCCAGAGCCUGCACCCGAAACUGCUGUGACUAGAGUUCGGUAGGGGAGUGGGGAAUUCCUAGUGUAGCGGUGAAAUGCGCAGAUAUUAGGAGGAACACCGAUGGCGAAGGCACCACUCUGGGCCGAAACUGACGCUGAGGAGCGAAAGCGUGGGUAGCAAACAGGAUUAGAUACCCUGGUAGUCCACGCCGUAAACGAUGGGCACUAGGUGUGGGUCUCUAACCAACGAGAUCCGCGCCGUCGCUAACGCAUUAA
rnacentral:rRNA from 1 species